rnacentral:rRNA from 1 species
AUUGAACGCUGGCGGCAGGCCUAACACAUGCAAGUCGAACGGUAACAGGGAGCAGCUUGCUGCUUCGCUGACGAGUGGCGGACGGGUGAGUAAUGUCUGGGAAACUGCCCGAUGGAGGGGGAUAACUACUGGAAACGGUAGCUAAUACCGCAUAACGUCGCAAGACCAAAGAGGGGGACCUUCGGGCCUCUUGCCAUCGGAUGUGCCCAGAUGGGAUUAGCUUGUUGGUGAGGUAACGGCUCACCAAGGCGACGAUCCCUAGCUGGUCUGAGAGGAUGACCAGCCACACUGGAACUGAGACACGGUCCAGACUCCUACGGGAGGCAGCAGUGGGGAAUAUUGCACAAUGGGCGCAAGCCUGAUGCAGCCAUGCCGCGUGUAUGAAGAAGGCCUUCGGGUUGUAAAGUACUUUCAGCGGGGAGGAAGGGGAUGUGGUUAAUAACCGCACUCAUUGACGUUACCCGCAGAAGAAGCACCGGCUAACUCCGUGCCAGCCGCCGCAGUAACAC